GUUUGCUUUCUCUCAGUUGGUAGAGCUCUCCACUGGAAAUGGAGAGGUCCCUGGUUCGAUACCAGGACCAGGCA
rnacentral:tRNA from 1 species